rnacentral:rRNA from 1 species
AUGGCAGACAAGGAGGCCGUCUUUGGAGACGAGUUCAUGGCUGACGAGAUCCUCGCCCGUCUGCCGGCCCGCUGUGCCGUGCGCUGCGUCGUCCUUUCCAAGCGCUUCCGGCAACUCCUCAGAACCCCGCACUUCUGGCUUCGCCGCCGGCAUCUCGGCGCCCCAGGCCUAGAUCUCCCGCAUGCUGCUUCCCUCUACAAAGAUGAGUUCCCUGAUAGGACCUUCUACUUCCAGGUUGUCGGCCCCGCGUUGGCCACCUUGAAGCACACCGUCAACGUCGAGCAGUGGUGGGAAUACGUCAACACCUGCAACGGGCUAGUCCUCCUCACCGUUCAAGAGGAAGGGCAGCAGUCCUCCGUCCACGGUGUUGUUUUCAACCCGGCCACCAAGGAGGAGGUACGCCUGUCCGUGCCAUUGCCUCCGCCCACUGGCAAGGAGGGCGAGAGCAACCCGCGCCGCAGCUUCUUAGGUUUUGCGUACGCGCCAUCGAGCAAGGUCUACAAGGCUCUCAUCUGUGAGGUGGACCGCCAUGACACAAGGUUGAUGGUGGUAUCAUUGGGAUGCCAGCAAGGGCCGAGGACAUUGUUCUCAUAUGACGAGGUGCCGUUUUGGCCACAAUGUCUACACAUAGGCAACGGCAAAAUCUACAUCCUUAUAGAUAACAUGAACUUGUUCGAGGACUACCCGUGGUUUGUGCUUGCUUUCGACGCCGAUGACGAGAUCAUCACCAGAAUUGAUCUCCCAGAGAAGGAGUCACACGUCUCAUUCAACCGUAUGCUGGUGGUUUGUGGCCGCCCGUGCAUCUACGAGGACAAGGGCCAAGACACGGUGCUAUGGUUACUCACCCCGGAUCACAGGUGGGAGCGGCGCUACAUCCUGGUCAAGCAAAGCUCUGAGUUCGGUUACUGUUUGUCGGCCGCCUUGGACUGCGGAGGUGGCCUCCUGUUUGCCAAGUUUGCCAGCUGUGCCUACCUGUACAACCUCAACGUCGGCGAGGCAGCUGGAGAAGAGGAACAAGGUUGUUGUACGAGGCAGCUGGUGGCUGUCAGCUCAAUGAGAAUCGAAUAUGAAAAGCCAGAGCGAUUCAAAUAUACCACUUUUCAGAGGUAUCUGUGGGAUUACCAUCCGACACUCGUAUCACCAGCGAGCAUCUUCGGUGAUGCUGCCUUGAUCUCGGGCCAUUGUGAGAUCAGUGAUGCUGCACCCAACCAUGAGUUGGCUGGGACGUUUGUGGAGAUGACGCACAAGUUGAUCAUAGAUCCGGCGAUGCAGAUGCUCUCUAGCAUCUAG